UGGCGCACGGGUGAGUAACACGUAGGUAAUGUACCUUUGGGUGGGGAAUAACUUAGGGAAACUUAAGCUAAUACCGCAUAAUGCAGCGGCUCCUUCGGGAGACAGUUGUUAAAGAUUUAUCGCCUAAAGAGCAGCCUGCGGCAGAUUAGCUAGUUGGUAAGGUAAUGGCUUACCAAGGCUACGAUCUGUAUCCGACCUGAGAGGGUGGUCGGACACACUGACACUGAAUAACGGGUCAGACUCCUACGGGGGGCAGCAGUCGGGAAUUUUGGGCAAUGGGCGAAAGCCUGACCCAGCAACGCCGCGUGAAGGAUGAAGUCUUUCGGGAUGUAAACUUCGUAAGAAUAGGAAGAAUAAAUGACGGUACUAUUUGUAAGGUCCGGCUAACUACGUGCCAGCAGCCGCGGUAAUACGUAGGGACCAAGCGUUGUUCGGAUUUACUGGGCGUAAAGGGCGCGUAGGCGGCAAUUCAAGUCAGUUGUGAAAUCUCCGAGCUUAACUCGGAACGGUCAACUGAUACUGCUUUGCUAGAGUACAGAAGGGGCAAUCGGAAUUCUUGGUGUAGCGGUGAAAUGCGUAGAUAUCAAGAGGAACACCUGAGGUGAAGACGGGUUGCUGGGCUGAUACUGACGCUGAGGCGCGAAAGCUAGGGUAGCAAACGGGAUUAGAUACCCCGGUAGUCCUAGCCCUAAACGAUGAAUACUUGGUGUCUGGAGUUUUAUUCUCCGGGUGCCGUCGCUAACGUUUUUAGUAUUCCGCCUGGGGAGUACGCACGCAAGUGUGAAACUCAAAGGAAUUGACGGGGACCCGCACAAGCGGUGGAGCAUGUGGUUUAAUUCGACGCAACGCGAAGAACCUUACCUGAACUAGAA
rnacentral:rRNA from 1 species